rnacentral:lncRNA from 1 species
CAGGUUGAAUUUUUAGUAGAUAAAUUAUAAUCCAAAUCAAAACGAAAAUUCCCAUCUUUUGAAUUGAAGUGUUUUGGUAGAAUUAUCUGCUCACACACAUAACAUAUAAAAAAACUGGCACGUUACGAUUGCCCUUUUCUUAUGCAAGUGUUCAUUGCCUUUUCAUACCCACCAAUAGCAGAUACAAUACAAUAGACCAUAUUUCAUCAUAUUUCCGCAUUAAAUUACUGAAUAUAGUACGGGAUUAUACAGUGUACGAAGUAUAUACGAAGAUGAACAUACGAUAACAAAAUCAAAUGGCACGUACGUAUCAUCGCAACACGUUAUUACCGAAGAGGACAUAAGAUAGAACAUGUGAUCAUAUAUCGCAAAUUAAUCACCUUUAUUCUGGGUAGCUCUCUAAAUGCCAGAACAGAUCAAAACUCGUAAGUCAUAACAAGAAAAGUUUAGAAAGAACAAAUCAGCAAAAAUGAGGAUAACAUUGCAGAAAGCUGCAGAAUAGGACACAAAAAAGCUUAAUUAAAAUUUCUAGUAAGAAACCAUAUAAGUCCACAACUUAGUAGUAUCGUUUCACGUACGGAGCUGCAUACAAAGUUGAAAUUAACAUUUUCAAAAUCACAACAACCUCGUUUUUUCUUCGGAAAAUAAAAGGUAUAAGGAGCAAGGAUCAAUAUCUAUGUCAUCCCGUUCCUAAAGGGUGUCACUGCCAAAGGAUCUUCAGUUGCCCAAAUGAUCAAACAAGUCAUAUAUCCAAAGACUUGCAAUUGUCAUUGGUUGAUCACGACUUGUAUGUUGUCACCAUCCUCGUCUGCACCCUCGCUAACCUCGUUGCUGAAUGCCUCAAUUGCCAUCCGAAUUAGCAUCUUGAAUUGCAAUUAAUACAACACACCUAGCUAGGUAAUUAUAGAGUAUGAAUAGAUGAUUGCUCAAAGAGAGAACAAGAGAAUGAACGUUUUCUAAAUUAUAAAGGGGAAGGGAAGGUAUUUUCCUUUUGGGUAUGGGGGAUGUGGGUGGGGACAUAGACAGAGGAUCUUCCAAGCAUAUGCUUAGAGCAUUAACUUGCUGGCCCAUUCUUUUUCAC